AUGGAGACAUGGCUUAAAACCAGAGAAAGUGAGAGACAUUAACUCUGUAGGUUAUAACUUGAACUAAUUUGCAUCUCAUUUU
rfam:Erinaceus europaeus unplaced genomic scaffold scaffold00855, whole genome shotgun sequence